AUUGAACGCUGGCGGCAGGCCUAACACAUGCAAGUCGAGCGAGCGGCGGACGGGUGAGUAAUGUAUGGGGACUGCCCGAUAGAGGGGGAUAACUACUGGAAACGGUGGCUAAUACCGCAUACUAUCGGAUACCCAAUAUGGGAUUAGCUAGUAGGUGGGGUAAAGGCUCACCUAGGCGACGAUCUCUAGCUGGUCUGAGAGGAUGAUGAGCAAAACGGGAACUGAGACACGGCCCAGAUCCCUACGGAGGCAGCAGGGGGGAAUAUUGCACAAUGGGCGCAAGCCUGGAGCAGCCAUGCCGGGGGUAUGAAGAGGGCCUUAGGUUUGUAAAGUACUUUCAGCGGGGAGGCGUUACCCGCAGAAGAAGCACCGGCUAACUCCGGGCAAGCAGCCGCGGUAAUA
rnacentral:rRNA from 1 species